rnacentral:lncRNA from 1 species
UUUUAAACACUUUGGGUGCAACAUGUAUUCUAUAUUAAACGCACGUGACACUUGAAACUUAUUUGAAACAUGCUCUAUCCAUUUAAACAUGAAACAUGAAACUUGUGAUACUUGAGACUAUUUUGUGCUAUGUGAACGUUUAAUCCCUGUGUGUAGUUCCGCCUUAACAAUAGUAGCGCUAUAGGGGUAAUGCACCUCCCCCAUUUGUAGUCGAGGGGUAUUGUUAGGAGGAGACAUAUUAACCUCCCGUGAAACUUUGGGUUAGGGUUUUGAAGGAACCCUUCUUGUGCUCCUGAUGAUGUACUUUAACGCAUUGGAAACUUGGGCUAUCACUUGGACUGCGUAAACUAGCAUGGCUGAAACUAUUUUAUUAUGUUCAUGUUGGAUAUGAGUUUUUAUUCUAUUAUGCUAU